UUAAACAUGUGACAAGUGGUAUGACACUGUUUUGAUGUAUGUGAAAUGUAUAGAGUCUUUCAGUUAUCAGAUAAUGUCAAGGAGUUGACAGCAUUGUGUCCGACUCAAAGUGCGAACCUGUGUACGAGUAACAACAGUAUUUAAAACCAAAACCUAUUUAAACCAACCAAACCAAAACUAGCAACCAAAAACUAUCUUGGCAUUGGUUUAUUUUAAACAUCUUUUAUAUACAUGUGUGUUUUUUAUAUAAAUGUACUAGCUUGAGUAUAGUGUAUUAAAAAUUUUUUUCAUAUAUUUUUAUUGUAAUUUAAAGUAUAUUGGAUUAAAUAUUAUAAAUAUUUGAUUAGUUUUCAAUUUUUGGUUAAACGUUUUAAUGUAGAAUAUCGAAAUAAAAUAAUGCAAUUAAAUAAAAAU